AAAAGGUUUCUACAAAGCGCUCAAAUACUUUCACGAGCUGCCAUACCUAACUGAUCCUUCUCUUUCCUCCUUUCGCGCAAAGUAGCACGACAAAUUCGAAAAAAUUCACUGCGAGAUGUGGAUACGGUCUCUGAGGACACGUUGGAAAAUGAAUGAAAAAAAGAAGAGAUCUUUGCACGUUGAAAGGUUCCGAGUGUGCUCGAUAACGACACUAGUCGUGGGUACAGUCUUGGUCGCGAUUUGAACAACUAUUUUAAUACUUUGUAACUUCGCUACUUCGUUGUAAUAUUGUACUUAACCACUUUGGUGAAUAAAAGCAUAUAAAAAUAUUAAAGGAC
rnacentral:misc_RNA from 1 species